rnacentral:rRNA from 1 species
UGAAGGAUGAAUGCCGUAAGGUUGUAAACUUCUGUGAGAAGGGAAGAAAAUCAGAUUUCGUAAGGUUCUGACUUGACUGUACCUUCAGAGGAAACCCCGGCUAACUACGUGCCUGCAGCCGCGGUAAUACGUAGGGGGUUAGCGUUGUCCGGAUUUACUGGGUAUAAAGGGCGCGUAGGCGGGUUUGUAAGUCAGUGGUGAAAUCCUACAGCUUAACUGUAGAACUGCCUUUGAUACUGCAAAUCUUGAGUUCAGAAGAGAGAGAUGGAAUUCCAGGUGUAGUGGUGAAAUACGUAGAUAUCUGGAAGAACACCAGUGGCGAAGGCGAUCUCUUGGUCUGUAACUGACGCUGAGGCGCGAAAGCGUGGGUAGCAAACAGGAUUAGAUACCCUGGUAGUCCACGCUGUAAACGAUGAAUACUAGAUGUUGGUGCCAUAGGCAUCAGUGUCGCAGCAAACGAAUUAAGUAUUCCACCUGGGGAGUACGAUCGCAAGGUUG